rnacentral:rRNA from 1 species
UACGUAGGGCGCAAGCGUUGUCCGGAAUUAUUGGGCGUAAAGAGCUUGUAGGUGGCUUGUCGCGUCUGCUGUGGAAACGCAACGCUUAACGUUGCGCGUGCAGUGGGUACGGGCUGACUAGAGUGCAGUAGGGGAGUCUGGAAUUCCUGGUGUAGCGGUGAAAUGCGCAGAUAUCAGGAGGAACACCGGUGGCGAAGGCGGGACUCUGGGCCAUUACUGACACUGAGAAGCGAAAGCAUGGGGAGCGAACAGG